UACAGAGGCCCCAAGCAUUAUCCGGAUUCACUGGGCGUAAAGGGUGCGUAGGCGGUGUUAUUAGUCGGGUGUUAAAUCCUGGGGCUCAACCUCAGAAUCGCAUUCGAAACGGUAACACUAGAAGAAGUCAGAGGUAAACAGAACUCUCGGUGUAGGGGUGAAAUCCGUUGAUAUCGAGGGGAAUACCAAAUGCGAAGGCAGUUUACUGGGACUUUCUUGACGCUGAGGCACGAAAGCGUGGGUAGCGAAU
rnacentral:rRNA from 1 species